rnacentral:rRNA from 1 species
GACGAACGCUGGCGGCGUGCCUAAUACAUGCAAGUCGAGCGGAUUCUUCCUUCGGGAAGGGUUAGCGGCGGACGGGUGAGUAACACGUAGGCAACCUGCCUUCAAGACCGGGAUAACAUGCGGAAACGGAUGCUAAGACCGGAUACACAGCUUUGUCGCAUGGCGAGGCUGGGAAACACGGUGCAAGCUGUGGCUUGGAGAUGGGCCUGCGGCGCAUUAGCUAGUUGGUGGGGUAACGGCUCACCAAGGCGACGAUGCGUAGCCGACCUGAGAGGGUGAACGGCCACACUGGGACUGAGACACGGCCCAGACUCCUACGGGAGGCAGCAGUAGGGAAUCUUCCACAAUGGGCGCAAGCCUGAUGGAGCAACGCCGCGUGAGUGAGGAAGGCUUUCGGGUCGUAAAGCUCUGUUGCCAGGGAAGAAUAAGGGUGAGAGUAACUGCUCGCCUGAUGACGGUACCUGAGAAGAAAGCCCCGGCUAACUACGUGCCAGCAGCCGCGGUAACAC